GCUGGGCAAGGUGGCUCAUGCCUGUAAUCCCAGCACUUUGGGAGGCCGAGGCGGGAGGAUCAUCUGAGGUCAGGAGUUCAAGACCAGCCUGACCAACAUGGUGAAAACCCGUCUCUA
rnacentral:SRP_RNA from 2 species